GCUUCCAUGGUGUAAUGGGUCAGCACUCUGGACUCUGAAUCCAGUAAUCCGAGUUCAAGUCUCUCGGUGGAACCU
rnacentral:tRNA from 1 species